rnacentral:rRNA from 1 species
AGCGAACGCUGGCGGCAGGCCUAACACAUGCAAGUCGAACGAACCCUUCGGGGUUAGUGGCGGACGGGUGAGUAACACGUGGGAACGUGCCUUAGGUUCGGAAUAACUCAGGGAAACUUGUGCUAAUACCGAAUGUGCCCUUCGGGGGAAAGAUUUAUCGCCUUUAGAGCGGCCCGCGUCUGAUUAGCUAGUUGGUGAGGUAAUGGCUCACCAAGGCUACGAUCAGUAGCUGGUCUGUGAGGAUGACCAGCCACAUUGGGACUGAGACACGGCCCAAACUCCUACAGGAGGCAGCAGUGGGGAACCUUGCGCAAUGGGCGAAAGCCUGACGCAGCCAUGCCGCGUGGAUGAUGAAGGUCUUAGGAUUGUAAAAUCCUUUCACCGGUGAAGAUAAUGACUGUAGCCGGAGAAGAAGCCCCGGCUAACUUCGUGCCAGCAGCCGCCGUAAAAC